AACUGGUCCAAGAAGAACCGCCAGAUUAUUGUAAUAAAAUUUCAAUAAAAAUAAAACUUAACGCGCCAAAACAAAAAAACGCUCUGUAUCUCCAAAUUAUCGAUCAAUCAUUGAACGCUCAAAUCUCUCAUUUCCAAUCGGCCAAAUAUCUCUCAUUUUCAAUCGACUAAAUUUCUCAAAUCAUCGGCUACAUCUGUCUCAUUUCUAAUUGCAACCUCCAUUAUUGUAUUAGAAGAAGAAUCCAUCAAUGGGUCAAUUCCUGGUGAAGAUGGCCGGUUCAAAAUCGAAAACCCUAAGUUUUUUUUUCAAGAUUUGGUGUUCUCUAUGUAUAUUGUUCUGUGAUAAAGUGUAAAGGAGGUUCAAAAUAAAAAACCCUAAGUUUUUUUCCAAGUUUUGGUGUUCUCUAUGUAAAUUGUUCUGUGAUAAAGUGUAAAGGAGCUACCUUGAUCACUAAUUUGUAUGUAUCUAUAUGUGUUUUGUAUUUUUUUCAAAGAUUUGGGGUUCUUUGUUUCUUUGAUAAAGUGUAAAGGAGCUAUCUUGAUAAAUGGUGAAAGAAGAAAAGUUGUUCUAAUAACCGUUGUAAUUAAACAACAACAACAACAAACUCGGUGUAUGUCCAUAAGUGGGGUAUAUGGAGGGUAGAGCAUUCACAAACUUGUGAGAUGUCCUUGGUAGUUAGUUUGAUGCACUGUGCAUGUUUCUUAAUAUAAGUAGUAGUAGAAUUAUUCUUAUAGUUUCUUGCUCUGCGAUUUCUGUUACUACCUAUUGCUAUAUGUGCUUCAAUUCUCGCAUUAUUUGGCUAUUGUUAGUGGUCUUUGUAAUUGUUUGUUUAAAAAUGCAAAGUAAGGCUGAGCCCAACUUGUUUGGUGUAGUAGUUGUUGUCAUUGGUAUAACCACAAAACUCUUCUGGGCUAUUGAUUGUUCACUUUAAUGGCCUGAUCCAAGUCAGGUGGAGUCGUUACAUCUUACUAAUUAAUUCAAAGUUCUAAUAAUUACUCUUUUUAUUCCAUUUUACAUGAUAAUCUUUCCUUACUGGUGUGUUUCAAAAAUGACAUCUUAUUAUAUUUAUAUGUUAAUUUAUCAGUGUUAGACUUGCUCUUAUAGGAAUUUCAUGACAUCCUAAUAAAAAAAAAGAUUCUAACAACAUUUUGGGAUGCUACAUAUUUGUAGAUUUUGUGUCAAAAUUCUUUCUUUCUUGUUUCUUAAAUUCCAAUGUCUAGUCAGACAUUGUCAUGAUAUAUAUAUUUAAAUGAAGGUAGUAUCUAAGUAAGGGGUGCUCUUGGUUGUAGUUAGAGCUAGAGCUAUGAUUGACAUCUUCUUUCCAGUUAUUUGCUGGAUGGGGAAGUUUUCUUUGUCAUCUGAUACAUUUAGUUGACUACAUUACAAUGUGAUAGAUGGAUAUGAUCCUUUAUUCUAUUUUUUGGGGAUCAGGAUGAGGGGCAAAUGUCUUAUGUAAUAGGCUUGGCCUGUUAACAGUUUGAAAAAUUGAAUUGAAUGUUAAUAGGCUUUUCGAACAAAAUGUUUUGGUAAAAUUUUUUGUUUUUUAAUUCUUGUUGUGACAACAUUUUAAGAGUACACAAUAUCCUAAUAUAUCCUAAAUAUCCUUAAACUACUCAAGAUCCUAUAUAAACAUAUAACAAGUCCAGUGAGACUUAAGCGUGUUUAGAACUAGACUCAUGAUAGGCUAUGUUGCUCGAACUCUUCAAAAAUGUCAAUGGGUGCAUGUUGGAUUUUCCAAAACUAGCAUAUUGUUGGAUAAUCUGACACGGGUGCUGAAUUGAAAGUAAAGAGUCCGCGCAAGUUAGGCUAUAGGUAUAUAAAGACAUGAGUGAUGUUUAGAGUUAUUUUUUUGUUGAGCACGUUAUUUGCUUUCUCAUUAGCUCUCAAUUUUCCUUAAAUCUUCAUUGCAUAUAUUAGAAUUUUUUAGUCAAAAAUCAUCAAUACAUGGAAAGGUUCCUUCAGGCUACCUGAAUGCCAUUUUUUAUUUGAGUGGAGCCUGGUUGAACGAUUCAGUGAAGGCUAAGUACCGGGCUUUUAAUGGUUAUUUUUUCUCUUUGUAUUAUUUGAACCUGACAACAUCCCUAUUAGUACCCCACGACCAGAUGAAAAAAGCAGUUCCACCACAUUGGGAUCCAGCAUCAUUAUCCAGGUAGCUUCUCUAUUCCACUCUGAACUUUCUUUAGCUCAAUCGGAUGAAUAUCUAUUUGUAAGCUCUAACUGGCAAAGCACAAUUUCUUAAAUAUCGUUGUAAUGCCUUUGAGAAGACUGUUAACUGAUGCUUUUGUGGUUUCCGUUUAGUUUUUGGGUUAAGUACUCAUGCAUUCAAGGAUAGUUUUGGGAGAUGCAUUUUUGUUAUCAUAUGGUCGUUUUGUUUCAUGUGAUUUCUAAUUUGAUAGUUCUUAGCAGAUUUAUCCAGGCUUAUGGGACACACAUAAUUGUCGAUAUGGGUGUUGGAGGCCUGGACAUACUUUGCGUUAAGCAGAAACCAUCCUCAGCAAUUCCUCCGGCUGAACUAAGAGCACACUUGGAUGACCUUAGAGAUUGUCUUUUUUCUAAUGAAACAAUUCCUCUGCCUGAGUUGAAGCCAAAAGAGGUUAAAAAGAAGGUCCCUGAGAUAUUUCUUCGCACACAAUGCAAUUUACUAGCUUAACAGAGACAUCAAGCAAGGAUGGUCUCACUAUGAUUUGGUCAAAAAGAGGUGGUGAUAUUUUUGCACAAAGCCACUCAAAGUGGCUUCAGACCGUGGUUGCUUACCCUGAUAGCAUACUCUUCAGACUUGUACCCAUUACAUUGCUGCUAACAGGAAUUCCAGGAAGCGGCUAUCUCAGCCAUGCAAUAAAUGUAUAUCUGCACUAUAAACCUGCUCUAAAGGAUUUACAGUGUUUCCUCAAGUUUUAAGGUCCUAGCUAGUGGGCGCCAUUGUUCUGCGAGCUGCCUCUUAGUCAUCAAAGAAGAGUGGCCUCUUACCCUGUGUUGCAAUUCUGUUUAUGCAGACCAAGGCUGUGUGUGAGACCUACAAAGGUACUUCUUGGUGUUUCUUUCUUAGCAAAAAGACUUUUUUUUAAUUAGAAGUAUAAGAAAAAUUGAAGUAAUAUGUGUUUUGUUUCAAUGAAAGAUUGCUACGAUAGGUUACUUUCUGUGGCAGCAGCCACUGCUAAUGGUGCUUAUGGUAAUUUUUUUCCCGUUUCUUCACUUCAGUUUCUAAUUAGUGCUGAUGUUAACUUUGCAAUCGGAUAGACAUAUGAGUUAGCUGCUGAUUUAAAGAGUUCAAAAACCACCAAGUUUAAUCUUAUCCUUGCAAAUACUGUCCAAUAGCGGAGCAUCAAAACUAAAGACUUAAGUAAGAAAAAAGCCUUGGUAUACUUUAGCAACUUGAAGAAAAAAAAUGUAGCAGUUAUGCAAGCUUGCAGAAAACUGAACAAUAUAUACUCCUUUUCGUAUGCAGAUACUUUAACCCUUGGGAUUAUUUUACCCCACCUUAUAUAUGGGAUAGUAAUUCCAUCAUAGCUAUUGGAUAAAAUAAGCCCUGGAUUAGUGUUUCUGAUGUUGUGCUCACGAGUAUUCUUAAUAUUUGUUAAUAUGUUGAGUAUCCUUGAUUGAUCCCGAUGAAACAUUUUAUAUGUGACACCAUAUUUUUCUCUCGACUUUAGUGGAUCCUAAACAAAUGUAAGAACUUAGUAUUAGAGGAUUCAAUCAUUAUCUAAUAAUGAGAUUACUUAUUUUUUGUCAGGUUUGAAUUCUACUAUUCUGUAUAGAUUCCCAAUUAUCUCCAGUAACUUACAUCUCUUAGAUGUAUCAGGAUAAAUGUGUUACAUGGUUCAAUAGCUGCAACAUUCUCUCUUUACUUGAUACGAAAUAUGACAAGGCCAACAAUGAACUGUCAGACAUUGAUUCCAACAUAGAUCUAACUGAAUUCAAGCAAAGGUUUAAUCACUUCGUUGCAUAUGAGUGAAGGUACUCAUCAUCGAAGUUCAUUGAAUGUUGGGUUACUGCCAAACUCUCCAAUGAGAAAAUUGAUCAAUAUUGCGCUUGCCUCUUUGAUAAUUCAAUAUGGCUUUGCUCAUCUCUGAAGAAUGACUCACCAAGCUGCGUCGACAAUAUACUCAAGUGUACCAGGAAGGUUAGGCUUGGUUUACUUUUUCAUAUUUUAGUAAUUCAAUCUAUACUAGUACUUUUGUGUGUGACAUAUCACCAUAUCUCUAAUGCGGACUUUCACUUUUAUCUCGGUGUUGUGAUCACCCUUACCUCAAAGAUAAAUCGCUUGAAGGCAUAGUUACAAAAGACAUUCCUCAAGAUCAGCGCUUUGAUGUUGAAAUCAAACUAAGUGGCAAAUUGGAACUCCUCAACAAGAUUCUCCAGGAGAUCAAACAUCAAAGACAAAGAGUCCUCGUUCUUUUUCGGGUAGCUACUUUUACUUCAAAAUUUCCUUUCAUUAUCGUUCAUUUCCAAUUUUCAUAUCUGACUUUGAUUUUGCCAAGUGACUAGAUUCGAUAAUUUAAAUGCAGAUUGGUGCACCUAGGAGCUCUCGUGUAUUCUUUCUGAUUUUUUAUUUGUUUCCUAUUGCUUUGCAUAAGGGCUAGAGCUAAUGUUUCUAAUUUUAACACGCCUAGUCUGCCUCAAUCCCCUUACCCAAACCAACUUCAAACCAGACGUAUUGGUGCAGUAAAGGAUGCAGGUUCAGGUGCUCAGUCUCAACAGCGAUAGUGAUCUUCGAGUACCUUCUUCUACAUCUCUGCAGUUGGUGAGUCUUCAUGGUUCGAGGACCUGUAUCUCUCAUUUUGCCUUGAAGAUAGAGGGUCGUUUAUUUUCAGUUCAGUAUGAGUCAAGUUAGGGAUCUAUCCCAAUGGUUCCUCAGUCUUAUGUAGUAGAGGCUUUGUCAGAUCAGUGUGCUAGUAUGUACAGGAUUUCAGUAUUUUGUUUGUACAGGGCAGUAUUAUUUCAUGUUUCAGUAUGUUCAUGACAUGUUUAUUCCUCUUUAUCUUAGCAUGAUUUGCGCU